UACGGAGGGUGCAAACGUUGCUCGGAAUUAUUGGGCGUAAAGCGCACGUAGGCGGUCUCAUAAGUCGGAUGUGAAAGCCCGGGGCUCAACCCCGGAAGUGCAUUCGAAACUGUGAGGCUUGAGUAUGGAAGAGGGUCGCGGAAUUCCCGGUGUAGAGGUGAAAUUCGUAGAUAUCGGGAGGAACACCAGUGGCGAAGGCGGCGACCUGGGCCAAUACUGACGCUGAGGUGCGAAAGCGUGGGGAGCAAACAGG
rnacentral:rRNA from 1 species